CCUACGGGGGGCAGCAGUGAGGAAUAUUGGUCAAUGGACGAGAGUCUGAACCAGCCAAGUAGCGUGAAGGAUGACUGCCCUAUGGGUUGUAAACUUCUUUUAUAUGGGAAUAAAACGUUCCACGUGUGGGAUUUUGUAUGUACCAUAUGAAUAAGGAUCGGCUAACUCCGUGCCAGCAGCCGCGGUAAUACGGAGGAUCCGAGCGUUAUCCGGAUUUAUUGGGUUUAAAGGGAGCGUAGGUGGAUUGGUAAGUCAGUUGUGAAAGUUUGCGGCUCAACCGUAAAAUUGCAGUUGAAACUGGCAGUCUUGAGUACAGUAGAGGUGGGCGGAAUUCGUGGUGUAGCGGUGAAAUGCUUAGAUAUCACGAAGAACUCCGAUUGCGAAGGCAGUUCACUGGACUGCAACUGACACUGAGGCUCGAAAGUGUGGGUAUCAAACAGGAUUAGAUACCCGAGUAGUC
rnacentral:rRNA from 1 species